CACCGGCUCGGCAGGCUUCACCGGCUCGGCGGCCUGCUCAGCGGCCUGCUCAGGGGCCUUCUCGGCGGCCGGUUCGGGUUCCGGCGCCGGCUCC
rnacentral:tRNA from 1 species